AUUGAACGCUGGCGGCAGGCCUAACACAUGCAAGCCGAGCGGAUGAGAGGAGCUUGCUCCUUGAUUUAGCGGCGGACGGGUGAGUAAUGCCUAGGAAUCUGCCCAGUAGUGGGGGAUAACGUUCCGAAAGGAACGCUAAUACCGCAUACGUCCUACGGGAGAAAGCAGGGGACCUUCGGGCCUUGCGCUAUUGGAUGAGCCUAGGUCGGAUUAGCUAGUUGGUGAGGUAAUGGCUCACCAAGGCGACGAUCCGUAACUGGUCUGAGAGGAUGAUCAGUCACACUGGAACUGAGACACGGUCCAGACUCCUACGGGAGGCAGCAGUGGGGAAUAUUGGACAAUGGGCGAAAGCCUGAUCCAGCCAUGCCGCGUGUGUGAAGAAGGUCUUCGGAUUGUAAAGCACUUUAAGUUGGGAGGAAGGGUUGUAGAUUAAUACUCUGCAAUUUUGACGUUACCGACAGAAUAAGCACCGGCUAACUCUGUGCCAGCCGCCGCCGUAACAC
rnacentral:rRNA from 1 species